rnacentral:rRNA from 1 species
UCCGUAGGGUGAACCUGCGGAGGGAUCAUUACAGAGUUGCAAAACUCCCUAAACCAUUGUGAACGUUACCUAUACCGUUGCUUCGGCGGGCGGCCCCGGGGUUUACCCCCCGGGCGCCCCUGGGCCCCACCGCGGGCGCCCGCCGGAGGUCACCAAACUCUUGAUAAUUUAUGGCCUCUCUGAGUCUUCUGUACUGAAUAAGUCAAAACUUUCAACAACGGAUCUCUUGGUUCUGGCAUCGAUGAAGAACGCAGCGAAAUGCGAUAAGUAAUGUGAAUUGCAGAAUUCAGUGAAUCAUCGAAUCUUUGAACGCACAUUGCGCCCGCCAGCAUUCUGGCGGGCAUGCCUGUUCGAGCGUCAUUUCAACCAUCAAGCCCCCGGGCUUGUGUUGGGGACCUGCGGCUGCCGCAGGCCCUGAAAAGCAGUGGCGGGCUCGCUGUCGCACCGAGCGUAGUAGCAUACAUCUCGCUCUGGUCGCGCCGCGGGUUCCGGCCGUUAAACCACCUUUUUAACCCAAGGUUGACCUCGGAUCAGGUAGGAAGACCCGCUGAACUUAAGCAUAUCAAUAAGCGGAGGAA